GACGAACGCUGGCGGCGUGCCUAAUACAUGCAAGUCGAACGCAGUGGGGACGGGUGAGUAACACGUGUGUCACCUCCCAUCAGAGGGGAUAACACUUGGAAACAGGUGCUAAACCGAUACUGAUGGAUGGACCCGCGGUGCAGUAGCUAGUUGGUGAGGUACCGGCUCACCAAGGCCACGAUGCAUAGCCGACCUGAGAGGGUGAUCAGCCACACUGGGACUGAGACACGGCCAAGAAGCCUACGGGAGGAAACAGUAGGGAAGCUUCGGCAAUGGACGAAAGUCGGACCGAGCAACGCCGCGUGAGUGAAGAAGGUUUUCGGAUCGUAAAACUCUGUUGUUAGAGAAGCGGUAUCUAACCAGAAAGCCACGGCUAACUACGUGCCAGCAGCCGCGGUAAUUC
rnacentral:rRNA from 1 species